GAUUGUUGCUCAGUGGUAGAGUGCUUACCUAGCAUGCAUGAGGCACUGGGUUCAAUCUCCAGCACCA
rnacentral:tRNA from 1 species